rnacentral:rRNA from 1 species
AGAGUUUGAUCCUGGCUCAGAACGAACGCUGGCGGCAUGCCUAACACAUGCAAGUCGAACGAGACCUUCGGGUCUAGUGGCGCACGGGUGCGUAACGCGUGGGAAUCUGCCCUUCGGUUCGGAAUAACAGUUAGAAAUGACUGCUAAUACCGGAUAAUGACGUAAGUCCAAAGAUUUAUCGCCGAAGGAUGAGCCCGCGUAAGAUUAGCUAGUUGGUGAGGUAAAGGCUCACCAAGGCUACGAUCUUUAGCUGGUCUGAGAGGAUGAUCAGCCACACUGGGACUGGAGACACGGCCCAGACUCCUACGGGGAGGCAGCAGUGGGGGAAUAUUGGGACAAAUGGGCGAAAAGCCUGGAUCCAGCAAAUGCCCGCGUGAAGUGAUGAAAGGCCUUAAGGGUUGUAAAAGCUCUUUUUACCCGGGAUGAAUAAUGGACAGUACCCGGGGAGAAAAAAGGCUCCGGCUAACUCCGUGCCCGCCACCCGCCGGUAAUUACCGGAGGGAGCUAGGGGUUGUUUCGGAAAUUUACUGGGGCGUAAAAGCGCAAGGUAAGGCGGCUUUUUUAAGUUUAAAAGGGGAAAGCCCCGGGGCUCAAACUCCCGGAACUGCCCUUUAAAGAAUGGCUCGCUUUGGAUCCCGGAAAGGUGAGUGGGAAUUUCCCAGUGGUAAGGGGGAAAUUUUCUAAAAAUUUCGGAAGAAACACCCAGUGGGCAAAAGGGGGCUCUCCUUGGAACGGGAUUUUGAUCCCUGAAGGUGCGGAAAGCGUGGGGGAGCCAAAACAGGAAUUAAAUACCCUUGGUUAGUUCAUGCCGGUAAAUCGAUGAUACUACGCUGUCCGGGGGACCUUAGGUCUUUCGGUGGGCGCUGCUAACGCAAUUAAUGUUAUCCUGCAUGGGGAGUACGGGCAGCUACGAUUAAAACUUCAAAGAAAUUCGACGGGGGGCUGCACAAGCGGCUGGAGCAUGAUGUUUACUUCGAAGCAACGCGCAGACCUUCACCAGCGUUGACAUCCCGAUCGCGGAUUCCAGAGAUGAGACUCCGUUCAGCUUAGGUCUGGAUCGGUGACAGUGCUGCAUGGCUGUCGUCAGCCUCGUGUCGUGAGAUGUUGGGUUAAGUCCCGCAACGAGCGCAACCCUCGUCUUUAGUUGCCAUCAUUUAGUUGGGCACUCUAAAGAAACCGCCGGUGAUAAGCCGGAGGAAGGUGGGGAUGACGUCAAGUCCUCAUGGCCCUUACGCGCUGGGCUACACACGUGCUACAAUGGCGGUGACAGUGGGCAGCAAACCCGCGAGGGUGAGCUAAUCUCCAAAAGCCGUCUCAGUUCGGAUUGUUCUCUGCAACUCGAGAGCAUGAAGGCGGAAUCGCUAGUAAUCGCGGAUCAGCAUGCCGCGGUGAAUACGUUCCCAGGCCUUGUACACACCGCCCGUCACACCAUGGGAGUUGGAUUGACCCGAAGGCGCUGAGCUAACCCGCAAGGGAGGCAGGCGACCACGGUCGGUUCAGCGACUGGGGUGAAGUCGUAACAAGGUAACC